AAGUCGUAACAAGGUCUCCGUUGGUGAACCAGCGGAGGGAUCAUUAUCGAGUUUACAACUCCCAAACCCCAUGUGAACCAUACCAUCACGUUGCUUCGGCGGUCACGCCCCGGUGCCCCCGUGCCCGGAACCAGGCGCCCGCCGGAGGACCUCCAAACUAUUGUUGUAUCUAGUGGCAUUAUCUGAGUGGCGUAAGGCAAAUCAAUCAAAACUUUCAACAACGGAUCUCUUGGUUCUG
rnacentral:misc_RNA from 1 species